rnacentral:rRNA from 1 species
CAGUCGCCACGGGAAUACGGAGGGUGCAAGCGUUAAUCGGAAUUACUGGGCGUAAAGCGCACGCAGGCGGUCUGACAAGUCAGAUGUGAAAUCCCCGGGCUUAACCUGGGAACUGCAUUUGAAACUGUCAGGCUGGAGUCUUGUAGAGGGGGGUGGAAUUCCUGGUGUAGCGGUGAAAUGCGUAGAGAUCUGGAGGAAUACCGGUGGCGAAGGCGGCCCCCUGGACAAAGACUGACGCUCAGGUGCGAAAGCGUGGGGAGCAAACAGGAUUAGAUACCCCGGUAGUCCCUGUCUCUUAUAC